AACAUUGCCUGACAAAGCACGACGCGUCACCUUACAUCGAACGCAGAACACUCCCGAUCGAACCUCCGGUUUCAGGUCCUCAGAUCCCGAUCCGCUUCGUCUCUCUCUCUCUCUACACUGUCUCUCUCUCUCCUCUUGGUGUAGUGGAUGGCAGGGACCAAUAAGUACACCUCCCUCAACUUCAACGACAUAUACGAGAAGAAGAUCAACCAUCCCAACAACAAACAAUCCUCUUCUUCAUCAUCACCUUCCUCUUCUCUUACAAGUCCUAACAAAUCCAUCAUCUCAAACUCUCGCAUCCAUGGAGGAAUGCUUGUCCUGAGCCGUCCCUCACCCAGACCCAUCCCACAACCCUCUCCUCCACCUCCACCAUCACAAGAUUCACAACCCGUGAUACCAGAUCGAACCCGGUUGGAAGAGGACUCCAUCUCUCUGCGCCCUCUGGGGCGAACUGGGUCCGGCCCAUCGCUCUCUUCGUCUCUGCUGCCAGACAAGGAGUUACCGUCGUUGUCGAAACCGGACCGAUUCGUUCCGCCUCAUCUCCGGCCAGGGUUCGUGGGCCGGGAGGAGAGGUCUGAACCGGGUGUCCGGUUUAGGGAGUUUGGCGGUCACCGGCAAGAGCAUUUCGGGUCGUCGAAUAGAUUUGGGGAAGACAAGCGACCUAAUUCUGGAGGUGGGUAUGAGAGGAUGCGGAGGGUUGGUGACUCGGGUUCGACCGAAAUGAAUCGGCCCGGUUCGAGUGAGACUCGGCCGAGUUCUAGUGGAUGAUGUAAUUUCCAAGUGUUCGCUCAAUGGAAUGUCGGGUCUCUCCUUCAUCUCAUCUCACGAGGUCAAAAAGUUCGACUUUCAAUUGGGACAAAAAGUUAUUAUGAAGUUGAUCCCCUUUCCAUGGAGGAGGAUGAAACCCUUGAUGCAAAUGGGUUCUCACUGUGAACAUCUGUAAUCUUUAGUCCUGGAGUUGGCAUUAGUUUUACACAUUUUGAUGGAACCUUCUAUUCAUAGAAAUGGGAAACUGAUAAGGUGGCUUCUUAAGAGUCUCCAAUAACUCAGGCGGUGGAAUAUUCGAUUAACUAGAGGACUGAAGAUUAUGUAGAAAAGGAAAGAAAAGAACGUGCCAACAGAAUGUAAAAUCUACUUGUAUGAUCUGUCAAUUGUUUAACUGGUGCAACUAUUUUAAAUGGGAGUACUGCAGUAAUUGCUUCCUCUUUCAGGUAUUACUUCAUUAUCUUUCUGCCGUUUCGUGCGACUCUUCCAUUUUUCUCCUAUUUUCUUUUUUUGACAUUUUGAUUCCAUUACAUGCGGACUUAGGCCUGCAAUCCUUUUCCUGCUGCAUCCACUUGGAUCAUAUUAUUGAUUGACUGCACAUAACCUUGCAAAGGAAUCUUUCUGACGUCUUGUAUAUGGUAUUGAAAUGAGUUACCGUGUUUUUACAAGCAUCCUAGUGGGGGUAUGUUUGGUGGUAGUCUGUGAUCGAACGGGACUAAAAGAUAGCAACUGGAUCACCCUGUUUCUUGUGUUUGGAUGCUAUGUGAUAAUGCGAGUGUUUGCUAAUUGUGUAUCACCUCUACUUCUGUUAUGUCUGAAUACCAUAAUUGAACUGCCAUAUCUGUCGUCACCUCUAUUAUGAAUGAAAUUAAGUAUUUUUCUUUUA